UUAUUGACAACGUAUGGUAGGGAAGCAGACAGUGAUACACUUCCGCUGAUUUGCUAACUCGCUUUCCUGUCGCUACGAGAGGGCGCUGAGUUUAUUAGAGAGAUUUAAAGUAGGCAUCACGAGUGACGUCACGAGUGUGAGCAAUUGUUCAGCGCCACUUUUGUAAUUUUUUUUACGUUUUAUUUGUGUUUAAGCGCACUUUAGCUGGAACUCUUGUGUUGCUUAUUCGCGAAUAUCACUAUGGUAAAUUGUUGGGUGAUUGGGUGUAUGCUAGUUCACUCAAGAACAAAGAAACGUCAUUUUUUAAAAAUUUUCCUGCAUUGUCAUCGAGGAGCUUUCACCAAGAAGGCAAUUUGCAUGGCUCUGGAGAAUUAACCGGAGAAAUUUCAAUACGGACAAAGUGAAUAUCAAUACAAGAGUGUGUCAGAAACAUUUCGUUCCAGGGUGAUCCAAAAGUCACUUAACCGUGCUGUUUUCAAGCAAUUGAAGUGUGUCGAAAUCCCCGUGACGUGUGUCCUGAACAAGGAUCUUGACGAAUUUUUUCAGAUUGUUGUAAAUUAUUAAAGAUUAUAAACGAUUUUCGAGUGGGAACGGGAGAUUCAUUCGAGUUUGACGAAAAUAAAAAUUCGCCCGUCGAUAAACACCUGCUAGAAUUUCUUCAAGAAAACUCGAUACCGAAGGAGGAGUAUCACGUUUAGGAACCAUAUUGGAUCGAAAAUCUUUCCUUCAACGAAAGAAAACCCGGACAUCUUAUUUUAAAGAACGGAUGCAGCGUGUAAAGAUUCGACUAACAAAAAGUGAUUUGGAACUGCAAAUAAUUCGAAAACACUGCCAGUGAAAGACCGUGCCUGGCCUAUGUACAUUAUUUAAUAGAGAGGUUGCAGCUGAAGUUUUCAUCUCUAAAAACAUGAACUUCAAACAUUUAGCACUACCAUCUUAGAAGUCUAGAAGUUUGACAAUGACAUUUGGAACAUUGAGUAUGGUGAGUAGAAGUUCAGAUUAAACAUCUGCAUUUUUCUGUGUUUUGGAUUAAAAUUAUGACAUAUUUUAUUAAAAUAAUGAUUAUUUAAGCAUUUACAGAUAGCAUUGUAAUAAAACAGACAAUUUUAAUCCAGAAAUUAUUUAAUUAUUCAAUUUUUUGCAAGUGAAAUGAAGUGACUAUAGAAUUUUUAUAGUUGUGUUUAUAAUAGCUUAUAAUAUUGUAGAAGUAGAUUUGGUCUUUCACAGAGUCAGUUACCCUCAACAGCAUAAUUCAUUUGUAAAUUUCUAAAAACAAUUUCCCAAGCUUCUUUUAAAUUGUCAUCUCCAUAUGGAAUUUAUAAC